AGGGAAUCUUCCGCAAUGGGCGAAAGCCUGACGGAGCAACGCCGCGUGAGUGAUGAAGGUCUUCGGAUCGUAAAACUCUGUUAUUAGGGAAGAACAAAUGUGUAAGUAACUGUGCACGUCUUGACGGUACCUAAUCAGAAAGCCACGGCUAACUACGUGCCAGCAGCCGCGGUAAUACGUAGGUGGCAAGCGUUAUCCGGAAUUAUUGGGCGUAAAGCGCGCGUAAGCGGCUUCUUAAGUCUGAUGUGAAAGCCCACGGCUCAACCGUGGAGGGUCAUUGGAAACUGGGAAACUUGAGUGCAGAAGAGGAAAGUGGAAUUCCAUGUGUAGCGGUGAAAUGCGCAGAGAUAUGGAGGAACACCAGUGGCGAAGGCGACUUUCUGGUCUGUAACUGACGCUGAUGUGCGAAAGCGUGGGGAUCAAACAGGAUUAGAUACCCUGGUAGUCCACGCCGUAAACGAUGAGUGCUAAGUGUUAGGGGGUUUCCGCCCCUUAGUGCUGCAGCUAACGCAUUAAGCACUCCGCCUGGGGAGUACGACCGCAAGGUUG
rnacentral:rRNA from 1 species